rnacentral:lncRNA from 1 species
AUGUUUUCCCUGAGCCAUCAGCACCUGGGAUGUGGGAAAGAAGGGGUUUUCCUGGGAUUUUUUGGGUAUUCCUGGGGCUGGAGUCCAAGCCAGAUGCUCCCAGGGAUUUUUGCACUUUGUUCCAGAUCCAAUCCCAGCUCCCGCUCGGAUGGGGACAGGAGGAGUUGGGAUGAUGCUGUUUUGGGGUUGGUUUCUCCAGAAUUGGCUGCUUUGGGGAAGGUGGAAUUUCAGACAGGAGCUGUGGGAAGGGUCGUGGUGGCCCCAAAUUCCUUGGAAAUGAGGCUGGGACAGAGCUGUGGCUGCUCUGGGGACAUCUCUGCUGUCACGUCCCUUGUGACGAAGUUUUGGGAUCAAAUUCCAACCAGAACCCAAAUCCCAGGCAGAGAUUCCAACCAGAACCCAAAUCCCAGGCAGAGAGUCCUCAGCCUUGGGUGUCUCCUGCCUCCGCUGGGCUUUUCCUGUUAUUUCUGGGUUGGGUUUGCUGCUUUUUGGGGCCUUGGAGGGGUUUGGAGCAUCCAAACACCAUCCCACACUCCGGUGGGUUUAUGUCCCUUGAUCCCGCAGGAUUUUUGGGAUCUCUGUCUCAUUUUUCCUACAGCUCCACAGAGCUGGAGACCCCUCGUAUCCCCCCGGCACAAUUCCAUAUUUAUCCCACUGCUGGCAGCUCCAAGGGAAGAUAAAUCCCAUCCCAGGAUGAUCCCAGCUCUGCUGUCCACUGGGAACGAUGUGGAUCGGCGGGAAGCAACCAGAACACACCGGGAUUGGCUGGGAUUCACCCCAAAAAUUAUGGGAUGGUGCAGGGGGGGGCUUGUUUCACCCCAAAGCUGCUGCUGCAAUCUCCAGCCCCUCUCUUGCCCCCAGGGCUGGAUUUGGGAAGCUUUUCCCAAAUCCAGAGAGCUGGGAUCCAUCCCCACCUGCAGCUUCCCAAAAAUUCCAUGGGCAGCUCUGGAAUCCUGUCCUAUCCAAGCUGCUCCCUGCCUUGGCUCAUCCCUCAGAUUCCAUUUUGCCAGGAAGACCCCCACACUCCCAUCCCAUCCCAUCCCAUCCCAUCCCAUCCCAUCCCAUCCCAUCCCAUGGAUCCCAUCCCAUCCCAUCCCAUCCCAUCCCAUCCCAUCCCAUCCCAUCCCAUCCGAUCCCUGUCCACCGGGGUUGCCUUUUCCCGUUGAUUUUGGGGUGGAAGGACCCGAUUUUGGGAACCGAAGUGGUGAAAACAGCUUUUUUUGCACAAGUUGUUGCACAAUAAGGGGAAAAUUUAGCAAAUUAGGUUUAACUUUAAAGGGAAUUUUGUUGUUGGUUUGUUUUUUGGUUUUCUUUAAAACUCGCUAG